GUAGGUGAACCUGCGGAAGGAUCAUUACAGAGUUCAUGCCCUUCGGGGUAGACCUCCCACCCUUGUGUAUUUAUACCUUUGUUGCUUUGGUAGGCCGUUAGGCUCCGGCCUGGCUACCGGCUCCGGCUGGUGAGUGCCUACCAGAGGAAACCAAACUCUGAAUGUUAAUGUCGUCUGAGUACUAUAUAAUAGUUAAAACUUUCAACAACGGAUCUCUUGGUUCUG
rnacentral:misc_RNA from 1 species